rnacentral:rRNA from 1 species
AUUGAACGCUGGCGGCAUGCCUUACACAUGCAAGUCGAACGGUAACGGGUCCUUCGGGAUGCCGACGAGUGGCGAACGGGUGAGUAAUAUAUCGGAACGUGCCCAGUAGUGGGGGAUAACUGCUCGAAAGAGCAGCUAAUACCGCAUACGACCUGAGGGUGAAAGGGGGGGAUCGCAAGACCUCUCGCUAUUGGAGCGGCCGAUAGCAGAUUAGCUAGUUGGUGGGGUAAAGGCCUACCAAGGCAACGACCUGUAGUUGGUCUGAGAGGACGACCAGCCACACUGGGACUGAGACACGGCCCAGACUCCUACGGGAGGCAGCAGUGGGGAAUUUUGGACAAUGGGCGCAAGCCUGAUCCAGCAAUGCCGCGUGCAGGAAGAAGGCCUUCGGGUUGUAAACUGCUUUUGUCAGGGAAGAAAUCUUCUGGGCUAAUACCCCGGGAGGAUGACGGUACCUGAAGAAUAAGCACCGGCUAACUACGUGCCAGCCGCCGCAGUAA